rnacentral:rRNA from 1 species
GACGUAGGGGGCCAGCGUUGUUCGGAAUUACUGGGUGUAAAGGGUUCGUAGGCGGUGUAGCAAGUCGGGAGUGAAAUCUCUGGGCUUAACCCAGAGGCUGCUUCCGAAACUGCUGUGCUUGAGUGUGGGAGAGGCGCGUGGAAUUGCAGGUGUAGCGGUGAAAUGCGUAGAUAUCUGCAGGAACACCCGUGGCGAAAGCGGCGCGCUGGACCACUACUGACACUGAGGAGCGAAAGCCAGGGGAGCAAACGGG